rnacentral:misc_RNA from 1 species
GAUGAAGAACGCAGCGAAAUGCGAUAAGUAGAGUGAAUUGCAGAAUUCAGUGAAUCAUCGAAUCUUUGAACGCACAUUGCGCCCCUUGGUAUUCCAUGGGGCAUGCCUGUUCGAGCGUCAUUUGUACCUUCAAGCUUUGCUUGGUGUUGGGUGUUUGUCUCGCCUUUGCGUGUAGACUCGCCUUAAAAUAAUUGGCAGCCGGCGUAUUGAUUUCGGAGCGCAGUACAUCUCGCGCUUUGCACUCAUAACGACAGCGUCCAAAAGUACAUUUUACACUCUUGACCUCGGAUCAGGUAGGGAUACCCGCUGAACUUAAGCAUAUCAAUAAGCGGAGGA